rnacentral:rRNA from 1 species
AUUGAACGCUGGCGGCAUGCCUAACACAUGCAAGUCGAACGGCAGCACGGACCAGUUUACUGGUUGGGUGGCGAGUGGCGGACGGGUGAGUAACGCGUAGGAAUAUGCCUUAAAGAGGGGAUAACCUGGGGAAACCCAGGCUAAUACCGCGUAAUCUCUGAGGAGAGAAGCUGGGGACCUUCGGGCCUGGCGCUUUAAGAUUAGCCUGCGUCCGAUUAGCUAGUUGGUGGGUAAAGGCCUACAAGGCGACGAUCGGUAGCUGUUCUGAGAGGAAGGACAGCCACACUGGGACUGAGACACGGUCCAGACUCCUACGGGAGGCAG